rnacentral:rRNA from 1 species
CCCUUAGAUGUUCUGGGCUGCACGCGCGCUACACUGAUGUAUUUAACAAGUAUUGCACCUUGCUUGGAAAGGUUGGGAAAUCUUUUAAACAUGCAUCGUGAUGGGGGUCGGUUAUUGCAAUUAUUAAUCUUUAACGAGGAAUUCCUAGUAAACUUGAGUCAUCAGCUCGUGUUGAUUACGUCCCUGCCCUUUGUACACACCGCCCGUCGCUCCUACCGAUUGAGUGGUCCGGUGAAUAAUUUGGAUUGUAGCAGUAACCAAUUGUUUGGUUGAUGUUUAAACAUAUCUUAUAAACCUUAUCACUUAGAGGAAGGAGAAGUCGUAACA